CCUACGGGUGGCAGCAGUGAGGAAUAGUGGUCAAUGGACGAGAGUCUGAACCAGCCAAGUAGCGUGAAGGAUGAAUGCCCUAUGGGUUGUAAACUUCUUUUAUAUGGGAAUAAAACAGGGUAUGCAUACCACCUUGUCUGUACCAUAUUAAUAAUGAUCGGCUAACUCCGUUCCUGCAGCCGCGGUAAUACGGAGGAUCCGAGAGUUAUCCUGAUUUAUUGGGUUUAAAGGGUGCGUAGGUGGAGUGUUAAGUCAGGGGUGAAAGUUGGCGGGUCAACCGUAAAAUUGCAGUUGAAACUGGCAGUCUAGAGGACAGGAGAGGUGGGCGGAAUUCGUGGUGUAGCGGUGAAAUGCUGAGAUAGCACGAAGAACUCCGAUUGCGAAGGCAGCUCACUGGACUGCAACUGACACUGAUGCUCGAAAGUGUGGGUAUCGAACAGGAUUAGAUACCCUUGUAGUC
rnacentral:rRNA from 1 species